GACGAACGCUGGCGGCGUGCCUAAUACAUGCAAGUAGAACGCUGAAGGAGGAGCUUGCUUCUCUGGAUGAGUUGCGAACGGGUGAGUAACGCGUAGGUAACCUGCCUGGUAGCGGGGGAUAACUAUUGGAAACGAUAGCUAAUACCGCAUAAUAGUAGAUGUCGCAUGACAUUUGCUUAAAAGGUGCAAUUGCAUCACUACCAGAUGGUCCUGCGUUGUAUUAGCUAGUUGGUGAGGUAACGGCUCACCAAGGCAACGAUACAUAGCCGACCUGAGAGGGUGAUCGGCCACACUGGGACUGAGACACGGCCCAGACUCCUACGGGAGGCAGCAGUAGGGAAUCUUUGGCAAUGGACGGAAGGCUGACCGGGGAACGCCGCGUGAGGGAAGAAGGGUUUCGGAUCGGAAAGCUCUGUUGUAAGAGAAGAACGAGUGUGAGAGUGGAAAGUUCACACUGUGACGGUAUCUUACCAGAAAGGGACGGCUAACUACGUG
rnacentral:rRNA from 1 species